GACGAACCGUGCGAACGUUGUUCGGAUUCACUGGGCUUAAAGGGCGCGUAGGCGGGGGACCAAGUCCGGGGUGAAAUCUUUCGGCUUAACCGGAAAAUUGCCUCGGAUACUGGUCUUCUGGAGGGAGGUAGGGGCGGCCGGAACUUCCGGUGGAGCGGUGAAAUGUGUUGAUAUCGGAAGGAACGCCGGUGGCGAAAGCGGGCCGCUGGAUCUCUUCUGACGCUGAGGCGCGAAAGCUAGGGGAGCGAACGGGAUUAGAUACCCGGGUAGU
rnacentral:rRNA from 1 species